rnacentral:rRNA from 1 species
CCUACGGGUGGCAGCAGUCGGGAAUAUUUCGCAAUGGCGGAAACUCUGACCCAGUGACGCCGCGUGCAGGAAGAAGGUUUUCUGAUUGUAAACUGCUUUAGACAGGGAAGAAAAAAGACAGUACCUUUAGAAUAAGCUCCGGCUAACUACGUGCCAGCAGCCGCGGUAAUACGUAGUGAGCAAGCGUUAUCCGGAUUUAUUGGGUGUAAAGGGUGCGUAGGCGGGAAAACAAGUUAGUUGUGAAAUCCCUCAGCUUAACUGAGGAACUGCAACUAAAACUAUUUUUCUUGAGUGCUGGAGAGGAAAGUGGAAUUCCUGGUGUAGCGGUGAAAUGCGUAGAUAUUAGGAGGAACACCAGUGGCGAAGGCGACUUUCUGGACAGUAACUGACGUUGAGGCACGAAAGUGUGGGGAGCAAACAGGAUUAGAUACCCUUGUAGUC